rnacentral:rRNA from 1 species
AUUGAACGCUGGCGGCAGGCCUAACACAUGCAAGUCGAACGAGUGGCAGACGGGUGAGUAAUGUCUGGGAAACUGCCUGAUGGAGGGGGAUAACUACUGGAACCGGUAGCUAAUACCGCAUACCAUCAGAUGUGCCCAGAUGGGAUUCGCUAGUUGGUGGGGUAACGGCUCACCAAGGCGACGAUCCCUAGCUGGUCGGAGAGGAUGACCAGCCACACUGGAACGGAGCCACGGUCCAGACUCCUGCGGGAGGCAGCAGAGGGGAAUAUUGCACAAUGGGCGCAAGCCUGAGGCAACCAGGCCGAGUGUAUGAAAGAGGCCUUGGGGUUGUAAAGUAAUUUCAGCGGGGAGGCGUUACCCGCAUAAGAAGUACCGGCUAACUCCGUGCCAGCCGCCGCGGUAAUUC